CCUUAAUUUUUUCUUCUUUUUUUUUCUUGGAUCAUGAACACUGUAAACCUGCUUUCCUCCUUCUAACGCUGUCUGCCAACCCGAUGGCCAUGAAUCUCUUCAAAUCCUCCUCCCUCUCUCCUCUCCCUCUCCUACUCCUCACCAUCUUCUUUGCUAUGACCAGUGCCCAGAAACAAAGCAACGUACCCCAAAAAUUUCUUCCAGAAAACGGUUUCGGAAAAGAGAAGGUGGGCCAUCUCCAUUUCUUCUUCCAUGACACACUUAAUGGCCUGAAUCCGACAGCCAUACAUGUGGCCGAGGCAACGUCCACAAAGACAUCUAAGACUGGUUUCGGAGCGAUUGUGAUGAUAGAUGAUCCCCUGACAGAAGGACCCAUGCUUAGCUCUAUGCUUUUGGGGAGGGCUCAAGGAUUCUUUGCAUCAGCAGCUUUAGAGGAAUUUGGGUAUCUGAUGACCUUCAACUAUGUAUUUGUUGAAGGGAAAUACAAGGGGAGCGCCCUCAGCAUUUUGGGGAGGAACCCUGUGCUGAAUGAGAUGAGGGAGAUGGCAGUGGUGGGAGGAAGUGGAGCUUUUCGAUUUGCUCGUGGCCUAUGCCUUGGCCAAGACCCACUCUUUCAAUGCCACCACUGGAGAUGCUGUAAUUGAAUAUAAUGUGGCCGUUAUUCAUUAUUGAAACCCCUCUUAAGGAUUGCAUACUAUUAGAUCAUGUACUUCUGUUGUAAGGUGAUCACAAAUGUAGUCAUUGAUUUCAAA